rnacentral:lncRNA from 1 species
AUGAUGGAUGUCACGACCCGGUGGAACAGCUCGCUGGAUAUGCUGGGCCGUUUCCUCGAGCAGCAGCCAGCCAUCUCAGCAGCGCUGCUGUCCCCCGACGUCCGCAGGAGGGAGAAUGACCUCUGCACAUUGACUGAGACGGACAUCACCACUGCAGAGGACGUGGUUAGAUGCCUCGGACCCAUGGAGACCGCCACCCUAGCCAUCUCUGAGGAGGAGUCCACUACCAUGUCAAUGGUUGCCCCGCUGCAAUUUCAACUGCUUAAUCAGAUGGCAUGCACUGCCGAAGACACGUCCAUCAUUAAGGAGCUCAAAACUGCUGUCCACCAGAACUUAAGUUCAAGAUAUGAAGGCCUGAAGGAGACCUUGUGUGUAGCAUCAUCCUUGGAUCCACGUUUCAAGACCCUACCGUUCCUGUCUGAUGAGGCACGUGAUGCUGUCUUCUUGAAAUUGACCUCUGAAGCUGCUCAUCCAAACCCAUCAACCGAUGUAAGUUUGCAGAUUAUAUAGUUUGCCCAUUUGAAUAUUUAGACUAUUUUUUCUUAAUUGAGCUGCAAAAGACUGAAUUCCGGUUAAUUUGUGUAUUAUUUUCUUUUGUAAUAUUAUUCUGCAUCAGAACACUACACCAGAGCAAGAGAACACCCAUGGUUCAAUGGAUGUGGCUGCACCUGCACCAGCACCUGCACCAACUCAACCAAAGAGGCCCAAAGACUCUGCUCUGAUGGCUUUACUGGGGCCGGCGUACACACCACCAACUCCACUACAGAAAAAAACAACAACUGAAAGGGCAGAGGAAGAGAUCGCCACCUACAGGAAAGUGCCAGCUAUUCCUCUUUCACAAAAUCCACUGACAUGGUGGCAGGUGCAUGCAGAGGAUUUCACUCUUUUGGCAGGCCUUGCAAAGCAAUAUCUUUGCAUACCUGGGACCAGUGUCCCAUCUGAACGAGUUUUCUCAACAGCUGGAGACAUUGUUAGUGCUCAAAGGAGCUGCCUCACUCCACAGCAUGUUGACCAGCUCCUUUUUCUCCAGAAAAAUUACACAAUUCCUGAAGACUUCUCAGUCAGGCAUCAUUUUUUCACUUUGUUCUUGUGGCUGAGCUGGUUGGUUGGUUCCUGUCUAUUGUUUUACUCCUGCCAUGGGUAGGCCUAUGUUAUUACCAUCUAGCACACUUUUACAUACAUUCAGCCCAAGGCAGGCCUGCCCCCCUCCCUCCCUCCCUCCCUCCCUCCCUCCCUCCCUCCCUCCCUCCCUCUCUCUCUCUCUCUCUCUCUCUCUCUCUCUCUCUCUCUCUCUCUCUCUCUCUCUCUCUCUCUCUCUCUCUCUCUCUCUCUCUCUCUCUCUCUCUCUCUCUCUCUCUCUCUCUCUCUCUCUCUCUCUCUCUCUCUCUCUCUCUCUCUCUCUCUCUCUCCCCCCCUCCCUCCCUCCCUCCCUCCCUCCCUGUAUGGAAUUUCACAAGUCUCUGGUUGUCAAAGACUGGGUACAGGGGUUCUUGUAGUUUUCUAAUAUAGAGGGCCACUUAAUUUUAAUUAAUUUAUAUUUUAUUUGGUCAUUGUUGUUUAGUUCUGGUCAUUGUUUUUAUUCUGCCAUGGAUAUGUUACUUAAAUUUCAAAUAAUACUUGGAUUUUUGUCUAAAAUAAAUACUUGAUUCUUGACUCUUCUCUCUCUGUGUCCCUCUUACACGUACACAGAUACAAUCACAAACACAUGGAGCUGUUUUGUCUAUGGGACAGGAUUUAUUUGCAUUAUGUCUGUAAAUACAUCGAUAUCGAAUCGAAUCGGAUCGUGACCUUAUGAAUCGGAAUCGGAUCGAUCCAGGGAAUUCGGAUCGAUUCCCAGCCCUAAUAUAUAUAUAUAUAUAUAUAUAUAUAUAUAUAUAUAUAUAUAUAUAUAUAUAUAUAUGUGUGUGUGUGUGUGUGUGUGUGUGUGUGUGUGUGUGUGUGUGUGUGUGUGUGUGUGUGUGUGUGUAUAUAUGAUGAUGUCGAAGACAGACAUCCUGUCUGUCUUCGACAGCUGCUGGAUUGACAAUUGGGCCGGUCCAGCAACUCCCAACGGCUAGCCGUUAUAUAUAUAUAUAUACAUAUAUACACACAUAUAUAUAUAUAUACACACAUAUAUAUAUAUAUACACACAUAUAUAUAUAUAUACACACAUAUAUAUAUAUAUACAUAUAUACACACAUAUAUACAUAUAUACACACAUAUAUAUAUAUAUACAUAUAUACACACAUAUAUAUAUAUAUACAUAUAUACACACAUAUAUAUAUAUAUAUACAUAUAUACACACAUAUAUAUAUAUAUAUACAUAUAUACACACAUAUAUAUAUAUAUAUACAUAUAUACACACAUAUAUAUAUAUAUACAUAUAUACACACAUAUAUAUAUAUAUACAUAUAUACACACAUAUAUAUAUAUAUAUAUACAUAUAUACACACAUAUAUAUAUAUAUAUAUACAUAUAUACACACAUAUAUAUAUCUAUACAUAUAUACACACAUAUACAUAUACAUAUAUACAUAUACAUAUAUACACACAUAUAUAUACAUAUAUACACACAUAUACAUAUAUACACACAUAUACAUAUAUACACACAUAUACAUAUAUACACACAUAUACAUAUAUACACACAUAUACAUAUAUACACACAUAUACAUAUACACACACAUAUACAUAUACACACACAUAUACAUAUAUACACACACAUAUACAUAUAUACACACUCAUAUACAUAUAUACACAC